GGGUUGCUAUCAUCAUAAGAAACAAUCUUUUAUUAGAGCCAAUGAGGAAAUCUUUGUUAUGCCUUAGAGGAAUAUAUAUAUAUAUAUAUCUGUUCAUCUACUCGUUUUCAUUUGUUUGUUUAUAGGUUAUAGCAUUAUUUUGUGGGGGAGUUCUUAUAUAGUCACACUAUUUAUAUCAGGUUCAAAUUAUUGGCAAUCAUGGAAUUGUUCAUAGAAAUUUCCCUUUUGGAAGAUUCAUUGAACAAGGGAGAGUUUUAAUUCACCAAUGGGAUGAAGUUUCCUCAUGCAAUUUGAAUGUUCCAUACAAUCGUAUAUUUGGACGAUCAAAGUUCCAAACCGCGUAUUUACUCAAACAUGCUGUUCUGUUUUUUUGGAUAUAGUAAUGCUAAGCCAUCUGGAUUCUUUCAGCAAAUCUGUUUAGCUUGAUAUUCAGCUACAUUUCUUUCCUUUCAUUAUGUAAAUUUAUCUCGUUUCGUCCUUCAUGCAAUCUUGCUUAUUCAUAUACGACAGGGCUUUAAACUGACCAAGCAAAGUAUGUGGAGAUCUGCUCCAGGUUGGCAAGGUGUUUCAGCUAAUCACCAUCCUUUGGCUGCAUAUUCCAUGUCUAAUCAAUGAAGUCUUGGCACGGACAGCUUAGCCAAGAUGCAUCCACUGCUGGUGCUGCUCGCUAGUUGACUGCACAAAGGAAUAAUGUGGAGGUGGUCUGUUGAGCCAGCUAAAUCUGAAUCUAAUAAAGCGAAAAAGUACUUCCGAAUGGAGUUUGUAGACAAAGAACAGGAAGAUACAUGCAAGGAUUUAGAUUUUGGCGCACUCGAAACAGUAGAUUGUGGUAACUCCUGUAUCGAUUUCUCCUUCGCAAAUUGAGUCACACGUUCAAAAGGCUGCAUUGGAUUGGAUAUCCAGAUCCUUCUAGGGCAGCAAUUGGCUCUUGGAUGAUCAACAUAGCAUCUUAAAUCACUCAUUUGCAUACACAAACAUUGUACUUUAUAAAUUCUUAGGGGCUUUUUUCUAUUUAAAUUACCAUAUAGUUUCGGGGUGGUUGUUGAUACAAGGGAAUAAGCUUUGUCUAAAUAUAUGUACGACCUUGCUUGUUGUUUCCGCAAAUUCAUUGAUUUGUGACAUGGUGUUCAUGCAUGAUUAAUCAUUUUUGUUCUUUUUGAAAUUUACGCUUUGUUGUUGACUAAAUUAUUCAAUGAAUUAUUGAAGUAUGGAAAAGCAAA